CGCCCCCGCCCCCGCCCCUGCCCCUGCGGGCUCCGGCCGGGAAGCCCGUGGUUGGGCGGCUGGCGGAUGGUGGGUCCAGGUGCUCGCUCUGUGAGCGGAGGCGCGAGCUCCCGCGAGGUCCGCUUCUCGGAACCGGAAUCGGGGCCUCGUGCCCGCCUCAGACCGGCGGGCAGACCCGGAGCUAGGCCUUCGGCCUCACAGAAGUAAGUCACCCCCGGAAGCGCGGGGAAAGGGCUGGUGGCAUUCAGGGUCACCGGGCUUUGUGCCCGAAGCUCGUGCGCCUUCGAAGACCAAGGAAGGCCUCGGAGACUUAAGUUUUUUCCAUAAACAAGAGGCAGACAGAGGACACAGCGGGGGAUCUGUCCCUGGAAUGCCCCCAUAGGAUCCUGCUCAGAAAAAGCUCAGGCUAGUCUUGUAAAGGAUGAAAGAGUACAUGGAGAGAGGACCCAGAGUACAUGGAAAGAGGACCAGGCCGUGCCAGCCAAUCCAGCUUCUGCAGGUGAGAGCUACACACUGGCAGGGAACUGAGAGCUGCUGACCCUCCAUGGAGCAAAGACAGACCCAAAGGACUGACCUACAGAACUGUGAGCAAGUACUGGUCUGGAGGCUGGAAGUUCAAGAUCAAGGUCUGGCAGUUGGUUUGCAGUGAGAGCUCUCUUGUUGACUUAUAGAGGACUGCCUUCUCACCAUGUCCUCACGGGGCCCUUUCCUGGGGUGGGGGUGAGAGAGAGAGAGUUAUGGUGUCUCUUCUUAUAAGAAAUACCCCUAUCAGAUUAGAGUCCCAACCUUACAACCUUAUUUAAUCUUAAUUGUUCCCAUAAAGGCCCUACCUCCAAAUAGAGUCACAUUGAAGUUAGGGCCUCAACAUGUGAAUUUUGAGGGAUUCAAACAGAGACCAAAAUAACAGCAACAAACAGCCUUGCACACUAUUGACGGAAAUCAUCAGUAAAGGGUCAAUAACAGAAGUGAAAAGGAGUCUUAUUCGUGCCAAACUGAAGACUACAGCCAGAGAGAUAUAGAUUCAAAAAGCCUCGAAUUGUGUUCCCCUGGGCUACAAAAUAGAGGAGGUUCUAAAGGAAAAAACUACAAAAUCACAGCAGCUGUUCAUCAAGAAUUAAGAUUGGAGCUGCAAGAAGUAAGGAAGCUUGCUAAGCAAGGAUUGGUUAUGAUCUGAAAUGGUUGUGUAGUUACAAGAGGAGACCCUGAGACCUAAGGUUGCAGCUGGCAUGUGCCAGCAGACACUGUUAUGAGAACAGCUGGUGACGUCCUGAGUCUGAUAUAGUUCGAAAAUUCAACUUCCCACGGAUGCAGGAAAUCACAUCCAUAAUGGUCACCGGCUCCAGCUGGGUGCCUGAACCACAGUGACUCCAUUCUGAUUUUCAAAUGCAUUCUUUCCUUUAAAGGUUAAAGCAGAUGUAUAGUGCAUGUUUAAUGGGCCAUAAAACAGGCUGUUUUAGUUACAUAAAGUUUAGGUUCAAUCAUGUAUAAGCCAAAAUGACUUCCCCACAUCUCAAUAGGUAAAAACUUCUCCCAUCCCUACAUCAUUAUGUCUUGUGGCCCUGAGAAUGCAGCAUCCUGUUCCCUGGGCUCCAAAGGAAAUGCCUGAUUCAUUUUUUUUUUUUUUUAACCUCCCUCUAUCAUGGGACUGUGCCCGAGUUAUUCAGUCUUGCUGAGCUUUGCUUUCUCCACCUGAAAGUGGGUUGUGAGUAUUAAAUAAAACAACAACACAAAUUUCAUAAUCUAGUCCCAGCCAUAUAGCAUCUACUCCAUAUACCUGUGCUCCCUGUUUUCAGUUCUCUUCAGAUGAUGCUCAUCAGCACAGCACGUCCACCCUAGUCCUACUUAUUCAGCAGCAUCCGUGGACAUCUGUCCACCCACAGAUCGUGUUAGAGGGCAGAUCCUAGCCUGGCUCACUCUGCCUCUCUGAGCGAGCUCUACUCCGCAGACAUGCCAGGUGGAGACCGUAUACCCCUCUCUGUGUACGGCUGGGGUCCCCCGUGUACACACCCAGCUUCUACCCAACAGCCACACCCAUGCCACUUGUAGAAAGUGGGGGGAGACAGAGGCUGCACUUCUGCUGCUUCUGGAAGGAUUUGAUUUUUCUGAAAUGGCAGGGCCUGAGACGUGGCCUGAAGGCCCCCGCUCCGAGGUGGGGAUCAGCAAAAGUGAUCCCCUGCGACAGUGAAAGCCCUGAACUCUCAGGACCCACGUGGGGCAGCAGGUCGCUGGCUUUUGGAUUCACAUGGUGACCAAGGAGGCAGUUCACUCACAGGGCCAGUUCUGCAAUGUCGGUCUUGAAGUUAGCUCUGAAAGUUCCACCAGAGUCUUCCUUUCCAGACUUUGCGAUGAUUUUGCCGACCCAAUCCCCUGUAGAGUCUCUUUGUGCUCAAAUGUCCUGGAGUCAUCACCACCUAAAGCAGACACUGUCUCAGACAAGUGUGCAGAGGUCAGAGAUACACAGUACCUGAGGCUAUAGGUCCAUGGAACUCACACCCUGAAGUUUCCUGGUGCUUGCUGUGGUCACCCCAGUGCCCAGAACUGCCCAGUAGACAGUUGUGAAACUGUUGACCCAACAUUGCCCCUUCAUUAGUUAUUGAUCCCUUAUUAGUUAUCUGCCACUGCCUAACUAAUUACCUCACAUUUAAUGGCUUAAAACAAUACACAUCCGUUAUGUUGCAGUUUCUAUGGUUCAGGACUCUGGAAUUGGUGUGGCUGGAUCAUUCUAGGCUGUGGUCAUCACAAAGCAACCUGAAGGAGGCUCCCUUGCCAAGCCCCCGACCCUCACCCCAGGCUGUUGGCAGGAGUCCCCGUUCUUCACCAUGUGGACCACUUCCAGCUGCCGGAGCAGACUCACAACCCUGCAGUGAUUCUGUCCCCACAUUGUCCCUACCAAAGAGCAGGUGACUUUCCCGUGUGAGUGAUUCAAGGGUAAAGCAGACAGAGACCCACACACAUCUGAGAGCCAAGCUCCAAGCUCUGAAUAAUCUGCGUCUUAGAGACGACAUCUCAUCUCAUACCUAUUAAGGUGGCUAUUACCAAAAAACAAGAACAAGUGUUGGUGAAGAUGUAGAGAAAUCGGAACCCUUGUGUCCUGCUGGUGGAAAUGUCAAAUGGCGCCACUGCCAUGUAAGUCCAUUUGACAGUUCAUCCAGAAAGUUAAGCCUUGAAUUGUCAUAUGAUCGAGCAAUUCCACUCACAAGUAUAUACCCAGAAGAAUUGAAAGCAGGGACUUGUACAUCCGUGUUCACAGCUGUGUUAUUCACAAUAGCCAAAGGGGGAAGCCGCCCAAGUGUUCCUUGAUAAAUAAGAUAUGGAAUAUACACACAAUGGAAUAUUAUUCAACCUUUAAAAAGGAAAUUCCAAAACAUGCCACAACAUGGAUGAACCUUGAGGGUAUUAUGCUAAAUGAAGUUAGCUAAUCAUGAGAGGACAAAUAUGAUUCCUCUUGUAGGAAGUACCUAGGAUAACGAAACUCACAGAGAAAGAAGAAUGAUGGCUGCCGGAGGGUGGGGGGAGCUGUUUAGUGGGUGCCGUGUGUCAGUCUGGGAUGAAGAAAAUGUUCUGGAGGUAAAUGGUGGUGAUGGCUGCCCAACAAUGUGAAUGUCACUGGACUGAACCUUGCCCUGAAGAUGCCCACUCACAGCUCCUGUGGGUCAGGAUUCUGGGAACAGCUCUGCUGUGAUUCUUGGUUGGGGCCUCUCACAGGAUAACUAUACACUGAACUGUUGUACUGAAAAUGGUUAAAAGGAUCGAUAUUAUAUACAUUUUACUACAAUUUUAAAGAAUAAAUUAAAAAUAAGAUA